rnacentral:rRNA from 1 species
UAUGCUUAGCCUUAAACCCAGAUGCACUCCUACACUUACAUCCGCCAGGGUACUACAAGCACAGCUUAAAACCCAAAGGACUUGGCGGUGCCUCAGACCCACCUAGAGGAGCCUGUUCUAGAACCGAUAACCCCCGUUAAACCUCACCACUUCUUGUUUUCCCCGCCUAUAUACCGCCGUCGUCAGCUUACCCUGUGAAGGUCUAACAGUAAGCAAAACGGGCUUACCCAAAAACGUCAGGUCGAGGUGUAGCGUACGAAGUGGGAAGAAAUGGGCUACAUUUUCUACAACAGAAUAUUACGGACGGCACUCUGAAAUUAGUGCCCAAAGGUGGAUUUAGUAGUAAAAAACAAAUAGAGAGUCUUUUUGAAUUAGGCUCUGAGGCGC